CGGGAAUAUAGAAUUUGGAAUGAAAUUUACCAAGUUUUCAAAUAUUGACAGGUUUUGACGCCAUUGAGCCACUGACUCGGAUCGUAAAAUUUUCAAGUUCAUAUCAAGAUUGAAGCAGCCAUCCAUUGUUCUGAAACUUCUUCAAAUGUUGAAAGAAGCCCACACCAAAUUAUGGCAUUCUAAAAUUAAGGUUCUUAAAACAGCAACAAAGGUUAUGGAUACGUUCUGGGCCAUGAAAGAGCAAAGGACAACAUGAAAAAUUGAAACUCUUGAGCUGGCUUUUUCCACUGGUUUGGCUUCUUUCCAAGGCAAAUAAUCAGAGGACAAUUAUUGAUGUAGACAGGGGUUAUUGCAUGAUAACUGUCUCUGAUUUUCUAAAAAGUUUCCAAUAGAAAGAAAGGAAAUUUAAUAAUGAAUGGGUUAAAAUAACAGUUACCAUGUUUCCCAUCUUUUGAAACUCAUUCAUGAUUGAUCUGUCAUUCAAGUGGUUGUUCACUUACCUAUUGUUAUCAGUCUUGUUUUAACUACUCUUUGACUCUGGAAUAACAAAAACAAAAGAUACAAGUGUUCAUUUCAGACACCAUUUAAGAAAAAACUACAAAAUAUAACAUGGGUUCUGGUACUGGACAACUUUGACCUAAUAUUAAAUAUAAUUUGUAAUGAAGUGAAAUUGUUUGUCUCACAAUUUAGUCACUUUGUGAUGGAUUGCGACACUUCAUGCUGCAGUCUUUUACAGGCACUUAGCCACAUUUACAUUGGAAGUGACAACCUUGUAAGGCCAACAAUUGUACAUCUUUGAAAGUACAUUUGCCAUGAUUACUAUUUUCAACCUUUUUUAGCAAUAUAAAUAUAGCUGAUAUGCAUUUAAAAAAUGCUAUUAGUUAAUACAGAAAUUUACCUUUACAUCUGACAGUGAAGGAAUAUAUUCCACUUUCUUUAGUUCAUCUAAAACACAACAAGACAACAGAUGCUAAUAGAUUAUAAAAGAUUCAACCACCAUUUUUAAAUUAAUUAAGUGCCCAACCUCAAUCAAAUGUCCAUCCUGUGGGUGUAAAUAAGUGUCAAGGGUCAAAUAAGCCCACACUCUCAAGAUCCAAGAAUUAAUAAGGGCAUGGGGUGCUUAACUGAGUAAAUACAGACAUUGGUACUUACACUUUUGUUUUAAAAAUCAGCACCCAGCUAAAUUCACUUGAUUAUUUGGUAACCAAUUGAAUGGUUAAAUAACUGAUUGAGUGACCGGUUGAAUGUCAGAUCAAUUAGUUGCAAAAAUUAAGAUUUGUUUUUAGUUUAAUCCUCAUGCUAUUGUACUAUCAUUCAUUUGCUUUAGUUUGGAUUAAAUUAUAGAAUUGGAGUCAUGUGUAUAUAAUUCGCAUGCAGUCAGAACAAGUAGUAAUACACUCAUAAUCAGCUGUGCCAUAGAUGCCACUUUUCCAUUCUUGCCACAUUUGAUAUUAACUGUUACUGAGGAGAAGCACUGAAAAUUGGAAUGCAUAUGUUAAAAGAUAAGGAGUAGCCAAUCAGAUUAGAGAACUUUUGAUAGUACACUGUUUAGUAGAAUUAUGAUACUAAAUAUUAUUUAAUACUCGCCAGCUGAAGGUGUGCAUGGUGGAGCACAUGGUACUCCUGUUAUCAUUCCUGAGUGUGCUUCAGAUAAGUAGAUCUUCUUCACUCUAUUAUCUUCAGAGUUCCAUAAUUUCCGUGGUGAUGACAUAGGAGAAAAUAAAGAGGUAUUUUCCAAUUCUUGUUGUUGUUUCCUUGGAGAAAGCAUGCUUGAACUUGAUGUAUUAGGUAAAUUGGUGUUGGGUACUUUAGGCAAAAGGAUUCUGUCACCAGUGUUCUUUUCACUAGAAUUACUCUUGUUGCCUUUCUUUGGUGCAUAAGUUGCAUGAAGUUUUUGUAUGCUUAAGUA